rnacentral:lncRNA from 1 species
UGGAAAGAGUGAUGCAAAACUCUAAUACUGUGGAAGGUUCUGGAAAGGAUUGCUGGGAUGAUUUGGAGAGAUGUAACUAGGCUUAUAGAAUUGCUGCUGUGGGGAUACUCCCGAAAGUAGGUAGUGGAACUCAUGUCCUUCACUUGGAUUUUAUGGAAAGCUAGUCAUACAAAACAAGGUCUGUGUUUUUUGUUUGUUUGUUUUGUUUUCAGUGGAACCAUAAGUUUAUUGAAAAUAACAACAUUGACUAAUGUAACCUGGUCAUGACUUUAUUCAAAAACACAUUUUGAUUAGAAAAACAAACCCACCAAUCCUAUGCAUAGUCAAUUUUAUCAUCAUAAAACACUUCUCAGCUGUAAUUUAGCUACCUACACCUGCUUCGAGGGGGGACAGCUGGUUCACUGAGUGAUGAUAUGGCACACCUGAGAGUUUGGGAGGAUUUUGUUGUUAGAGACAAGGGAAGCAGAAAGGGUAUAUCUAAAGAAGUAGAGAAUGAGAUUUUGUAUGUGUAUUUUAUAUAUUUUUUUAGUAGGCUCUGUUUAAAGUGAGGUGCAGAGAAAGUGGGAAAGUAAAGGCAGCUGAUCUCUGAUGCGGCUCCUGAGAUGUUUUGUUCUGAUGAGGCCUCACUGAGAUCCCAAGAUGGUAGCAUUUUGCUUACGCUUGUGCUCUGUUACCAGGCUGCUGAUGUGAGGGGCUCCUGCUACAGGGAUGAGGUGUAUGUCUGGCUCUGUGAAACAAUAAAGAUGUGGAGUUUUGAUAACUGACCCCAUUAUCAUCUACCUCCUGGAGCUGUGGGCAGUGUCUCGCCCACCUUUCCUGGCUUGUUCAGCUUGGCCUCUUGCAGAGAUGUGUGUGCUCCGUGGUCCUUAACAUAUUGUGCUAGCCUUGCUGCCUGGGGUUGCUGCGAGGUGACUUGGCCCAAGCUGGUGUCUGAACAUGUGGGGAUGGAGCCCCUGAGGAGCACGAUGGUCAGCAGUGCCAUGGGGGUCAGUGGAGGCACACCAUUGCAAGGCACAGGUUAGCAUGCUGCAGGUACCCUGUCCCUGCAGGCAGUCAGGCUGUCUGUAGCAUGUGUGUACAUGGGUGCGUGAUUACAGG